UACGAUAGUAGAGGGGCAUUAUGUUUUCUGGUCUGUGCCUCCGUUCGUCGUCCGUUCGUCCGUUCGUUCGUUGGUUCGUGCGUCCGUGCGUCCGUUCAGGUUAAAGUUUUUGGUCAAGGUGGUUUUUGAUGAAGUUGAAGUCACAUCAACUUGAAACUUAGCACACAUGUUCCCUAUGAUAUGAUCUUUCUAAUUUUAAUUUCAAAUGAAAGUUUUGACCCCAAUUUCACGGUCCACUGAAAAUGGAAAAUUAUAGUGCGAGUGGGGC
rnacentral:lncRNA from 1 species